GAAAAUAAAGUAUAGUUGUAUAUUUUAGUUACAUUAAAAAGGUCUAUUUUAUAGUAUUUUCA
rnacentral:tRNA from 1 species